CCUACGGGUGGCAGCAGUGAGGAAUAUUGGUCAAUGGGCGGGAGCCUGAACCAGCCAAGUCGCGUGAGGGAAGACGGUCCUAUGGAUUGUAAACCUCUUUAGGCGGGGAGCAAUGCCGGGCACGCGUGCCCGGUGGGAGAGUACUCGCAGAAUAAGCAUCGGCUAACUCCGUCCCAGCAGCCGCGGUAAUACGGGGGAUGCGAGGGUUAUCCGGUUUUAUUGGGUUUAAGGGGUGCGUAGGCGGAUUUUUAAGUCAGCGGUAAAAUGUCCGGGCUCAACCCGGGCCGGCCGUUGAAACUGGGGAUCUUGAGUGGGCGAGAAGUAUGCGGAAUGCGUGGUGUAGCGGUGAAAUGCAUAGAUAUCACGCAGAACUCCGAUUGCGAAGGCAGCAUACCGGCGCCCGACUGACGCUGAGGCACGAAAGCGUGGGGAUCGAACAGGAUUAGAUACCCGUGUAGUC
rnacentral:rRNA from 1 species